CUUUUCUCUCUGCUCCCCCUUCACAGAAAGAGCGCAGGGUCCCCACCCUCUCUGAUCUUGCUUCCUCCCCCUCUUCCCCCCCUUAAAUAGGAACAAAUUCACCUUGUCUUCUGCUUCUAACAUUUUGUCCGUGCUGGUUAAUGAGUUCAACGUAGUACAGUAAAUUUGCUGAGGAAUCAAAAAGUAUUUAAAAGGGGGUUAUGGUGCUGCCUUAAUGAAAAAGAAUCGCGUGGCAUAAAUUAAGUUGGAAAAGAAUAAGCGCUUUGGGCAGGAUUCUGAUGGAUUUUAUGAUGCCUUUCAGUUCCGCUUUGCAGACCUAAUCGAGAAAUCUGUGCUGCGUCAAUUUAACAAAUCCUUGAGAGCGAAGGCAGGAAUGUCAAAUGAAUCUCCAGAAAGUCUGGCUUCUAAGAUCAAAUCACCAUGCAUCCUCAAUCUACUACUUCUUUAUUCUACCACACCCCUGACUUAACCGGCCUAGGAAAAGAUGCCACCACAACAAAUUUCUCUUUGCAUUUCUCUUCACCUUCCAGCCUGGCAAUUGUCUUAUGAAAAACAGAUAAAGAGGGAUUCUCUUGCAUAAGAGGGCAUGUUUUGCACAAGGGCCUUUGGUAUUAAUGAGAUCCAGAAGGGUGGUUUUUUUUUUUUUAAUCUUUUGUGUUCCAACUCAACUUCCUUUUGAUAGUAGCUGGUGAUAGAAAUGUUUCUGGCUCAGUUUUCUGGGGCAUUUCCAAGAUAUUUCUUAGUUGUUGUAGAUUGUACACUUAUCUGAUGAUAGUUUCUCUGAACAUUGCCUCAAAGACCAAUAGGGAACCUAAAGUGUUUGAGGAAUGAGUCUUACUUACCCUUUUUGUUUACAAUCCCUGACAACUGUAACAAUGAAAUCUCUGAGCUUUUACAAAAACUGUGAAUAAUUGAGAGUAACAGAAAAAUAAUUUUACUUCAGUGUAUAGAAUUACAGAUGAAUAGAUGAUACCUCCCAUUUAAAUAAAUCUUUACAUGAAUUAGUGGUAUAGAAUUAAAGUGUGUCCAAACUUGAAAAACUUAAAUUUGACAAUACAGGAUUUCACCCAAUGGGUUCAAGAAGAAGUGCUGCCCAUGGCCUAUUUUAACUUACAUAAAGUAGUUAAAGAAUUCCCUUUCCUUCUAAACAGGCUGCAUCAAGCCAAGAAUGUAAUGCAACCACAAUUAUUUUCUUCAGAAAACAUUUACAUUUGCAAUACACAACUACAAAUAUAUCUGCUGUUUUGCUAUCCUGAGCAGCAAAGAUCCAUUUAUGCUUCUGUGGAAAAGCACUUAUCUAGGCAUAUUUUAAUUUAUUUCAGGCUCAAAUUUCGUUCUGUACCCCAUUUCUUGUGUUUUUUCACAGGCCUCUCAUUUUAGACCAGUCUGUCUGCCACAUACUUUCUUCAUCAGCAUUCCCCAUCCAGAUGCUCUUUAUUCAUUGGACUACAAUCCCCAUCAUCUUAUAGACCAACGUACACGAAAAGCACCAAUUGCAGAAAGUUUACAAUAAGGUAUAGGCUAGCAGAGUAACCAGAUAAACUUUCAAAAGACAACUGGAUGAUGAUUCUCAGACUAAUUUAUUUCCCAGAGUUAUUGUUUUUUUUUAAAAAAAUCACUGCCCUGUAAGAAAAGACAAAUACAAAGCUAUAUUUACAACCCCCCCCCGUGUCCUUGCAUUUGACAUGCAAACUUCAAUAAACAGCAAUAUUUCUUCACUCUGGUUCUGUGGUAUAUGUGAAUCAUUUAUUUUCCUGGAGGAACUGGAACAGCCUGCAUUCCUUAAAUAUUGGACCUGUUAAAAGCAGGCAUUCAUACUGUGGCUAGAGUGAAAAUCACUGCCUGUGCCACUUUGAGGAGGUUAUUUUCAGGUGAAGAUGUGAAGGCCAUUUUAUAGUUUUGACUUGGUUGGCGUUCUGAGUGUGCCUUUAAUGAACUUAGGCUGCUUGGUGGAAGAUGAGUCCAUCAUUUCCAAAAUCAGAUGAUUGGGCCUCUAGUCAGUGUCCGUUCGGACUAAUAGACUACGUGCACUGAGGCAAAAACCCAUUCAGACCUAUCAGAGACCAAACCACAAGGCUGGGAUGUUGUCUAUGCUUAUAAACCACCAUACACUUUCCUAUUCCCUCUAGUGCAAACCUCAGCAGAAAAAAACAAAAAUUAAGAUAUUUGAUUAGAAUGAGCCAACAUUUUGCAAAAAGUGCACUCCCCAUGCCAUGUUUGACACCUUGCAUAAAACUAAGGUUUGUUUAACAAUAGUCUUCUCUCCUCCCUCCCAAAACUACCCCUUAAUUGGCUAAAUGUACAUAAUCAAAAACAUAACUAUUUUAUGGCAUACCACGCUGAGUAAACUUAGCUAUUAUAUUCAAUGUUAAAUUUCUCAUACGCCACCAGGAAAAGUAGACUUGUCUUCUCCAAUGCAUAUCCAAUUAGUGAUUUUCUUUUAAUUGACCUUCAACAGCAAUUGGAUUUGAUGAAGUGGUUUAGAUUUUUUUUUUCUCUUGUGCUCCUCACUCCCCCCCUCACCCAACAUGCACAUUGUAAGGCAAUUUGUGAUCAAGCCAUCUGCUUCAAUGAAAGUCGCAUUUUAUCAUUGGAAAGGCCGUUCAAAUCCUAUAAUGCGACCAUAAAGAUUUCCAGCGGGCCAUACAUACAGGGAAGCUACC